rnacentral:rRNA from 1 species
AGAGUUUGAUCCUGGCUCAGAUUGAACGCUGGCGGCAGGCCUAACACAUGCAAGUCGAGCGGCAGCGACAACAUUGAACCUUCGGGGGAUUUGUUGGGCGGCGAGCGGCGGACGGGUGAGUAAUGCUUGGGAAUAUGCCUUAUGGUGGGGGACAACAGUUGGAAACGACUGCUAAUACCGCAUGAUGUCUACGGACCAAAGUGGGGGACCUUCGGGCCUCACGCCAUAAGAUUAGCCCAAGUGGGAUUAGCUAGUUGGUGAGGUAAUGGCUCACCAAGGCGACGAUCCCUAGCUGGUUUGAGAGGAUGAUCAGCCACACUGGGACUGAGACACGGUCCAGACUCCUACGGGAGGCAGCAGUGGGGAAUAUUGCACAAUGGGCGCAAGCCUGAUGCAGCCAUGCCGCGUGUGUGAAGAAGGCCUUCGGGUUGUAAAGCACUUUCAGUCGUGAGGAAGGUAGUGUAGUUAAUAGCUGCACUAUUUGACGUUAGCGACAGAAGAAGCACCGGCUAACUCCGUGCCAGCAGCCGCGGUAAUACGGAGGGUGCGAGCGUUAAUCGGAAUUACUGGGCGUAAAGCGCAUGCAGGUGGUUUGUUAAGUCAGAUGUGAAAGCCCGGGGCUCAACCUCGGAAUAGCAUUUGAAACUGGCAGACUAGAGUACUGUAGAGGGGGGUAGAAUUUCAGGUGUAGCGGUGAAAUGCGUAGAGAUCUGAAGGAAUACCGGUGGCGAAGGCGGCCCCCUGGACAGAUACUGACACUCAGAUGCGAAAGCGUGGGGAGCAAACAGGAUUAGAUACCCUGGUAGUCCACGCCGUAAACGAUGUCUACUAGAAGCUCGGUUCCUCGGAACUGUUUUUCAAAGCUAACGCGUUAAGUAGACCGCCUGGGGAGUACGGUCGCAAGAUUAAAACUCAAAUGAAUUGACGGGGGCCCGCACAAGCGGUGGAGCAUGUGGUUUAAUUCGAUGCAACGCGAAGAACCUUACCUACUCUUGACAUCCAGAGAAUCCUGCGGAGACGUGGGAGUGCCUUCGGGAACUCUGAGACAGGUGCUGCAUGGCUGUCGUCAGCUCGUGUUGUGAAAUGUUGGGUUAAGUCCCGCAACGAGCGCAACCCUUAUCCUUGUUUGCCAGCACUUCGGGUGGGAACUCCAGGGAGACUGCCGGUGAUAAACCGGAGGAAGGUGGGGACGACGUCAAGUCAUCAUGGCCCUUACGAGUAGGGCUACACACGUGCUACAAUGGCGCAUACAGAGGGCGGCCAACUUGCGAAAGUGAGCGAAUCCCAAAAAGUGCGUCGUAGUCCGGAUCGGAGUCUGCAACUCGACUCCGUGAAGUCGGAAUCGCUAGUAAUCGUGGAUCAGAAUGCCACGGUGAAUACGUUCCCGGGCCUUGUACACACCGCCCGUCACACCAUGGGAGUGGGCUGCAAAAGAAGUGGGUAGUUUAACCUUCGGGAGGACGCUCACCACUUUGUGGUUCAUGACUGGGGUGAAGUCGUAACAAGGUAGCCGUA